rnacentral:ribozyme from 12 species
UUUUUUUUUUUUUUUUUUUUUUUUUUUUUAUUUUUUGUAGGGUCCUUUAUUACGAGUUUAAUUCGGGCCUCUUUGAGGAAUAAACCCAGAGUAUUGUAGCAGAAAACU